ACGAACGCUGGCGGCGUGCUUAACACAUGCAAGUCGAACGGUGAAGCGCCUUCCUUUUUGGUGGGUGUGGAUGAGUGGCGAACGGGUGAGUAACACGUGAGUAACCUGCCCCCUUCUCCUGGAUAACCGCAUGAAAGUGUGGCUAAUACGGGAUAUUCUGGGUCUGUCGCAUGAUGGGUCUGGGAAAGAUAUUGUUUCGGUGGGGGAUGGGCUCGCGGCCCAUCAGCUUGUUGGUGGGGUGAUGGCCUACCAAGGCGGUGACGGGUAGCCGGCCUGAGAGGGUGGACGGUCACACUGGGACUGAGACACGGCCCAGACUCCUACGGGAGGCAGCAGUGGGGAAUAUUGCACAAUGGGCGCAAGCCUGAUGCAGCGACGCCGCGUGAGGGAUGGAGGCCUGCGGGUUGUGAACCUCUUUCGCCAGUGAAGCAGGCCUGCCUCGUUUGUGGGUGGGUUGACGGUAGCUGGAUAAGAAGCGCCGGCUAACUACGUG
rnacentral:rRNA from 1 species